AGCAGCCGCGGUAAUUCCAGCUCCAAUAGCGUAUAUUAAAGUUGUUGCAGUUAAAAAGCUCGUAGUUGAAUUUCGGGAUCAAUUAGUCGGUCGUGCCUCUGGUACGUACUGGUUUUAUUGGUUCCUCCCUUCUGACGAAACAUGAUGUCAUUAAUUUGGUGUCGUGGAGAAUCAGGACUGUUACCUUAGAAAAAUUAGAGUGUUUAUAGCAGGCUAACGCUUGAAUACAUUAGCAUGGAGUAAUGAAAUAGGACGUUCGACCCUUAUUUUGUUGGUUUCUAGGAUCGACGUAAUGAUUAAUAGGGAUAGGUUGGGGGCAUUAGUAUUCAAUUGUCAGAGGUGAAAUUCUUGGAUUUAUUGAAGACUAACUACUGACGAAAGCAUUUGCCAAGGAUUGUUUUACAUUAAUCAAGAACGAAAGGUUAGGGGAUCGAAGACGAUCAGAUACCGUCGUAGUCUUAACCAUAAACUAUGCCGACUAGGGAUCGGAUGAUUAGUUUUAAUUUUUAAUGUACUCUAG
rnacentral:misc_RNA from 1 species